CGAACACGCUGCAACCAACUCUGGCAAGCCAGCUUGCUGUAUCAGACCUGGCUCCCAGCCUGGGCCAGGUGACCACCCCUGAGCGGCCGGGCAAACCGAGGGGAAACUCGCGCAUGCCUUGAUGCUAUUGGGUCGCCAAGGGUUCAUUUCAGGUCACUUGGUCAUUCUUCUGCCUCCAGCAGGUCUGGUUGCUAGGACUGGAGACAUGAGAAGCAGGUAGACUGGCUCCUUUGAUCCCACUCAGUACUCCUAAUCUCCAGUGGUCAGAGCACACAGGAAAGAGGACACCUGUGCCCCUCCAUCCAACUAUGAAAAACAAAAAAGCUGGCACCAAGAAAUUUGAAUUUUCCCAGGAAUCUCAAUGCUGGGAGAAAGAAAAGGCUGAAGCCUGGUGCCAGCCAAAGAGAGCUUGUCUCUCAGGAAGAGACUUCACAUGGUUCUGGUAAGUUGUUAGACCACCUUGCUGGAGAGACAAAUUGACAUAAUGAUGGUUCAGCAAUGGGCAAGACCACACCUUGAUCAGG
rnacentral:lncRNA from 1 species